UAUCUCUGUAGAGUCUGCAUAUCAAUAAGCGGAGGAAAAGAAACUAACAAGGAUUCCCUUAGUAACGGUGAGUGAAGCGGGAAGAGCUCAAAUUUGAAAUCUUCAAGGUUCUACCUUGACGAAUUGUAGUUUAAGGAAGUGUUUUCUGUUAGAUGAGUAGCAAAAGUUCCUUGGAAUGGGACAUCAUAGAGGGUGAGAAUUCCGUAUUUGGUUAUUCAUUCUAGCUUUGUGAUACACUUUCAAAGAGUCGGAUUGUUUGGGAAUGCAGUCCAAAAUGGGUGGUAAAUUUCAUCUAAAGCUAAAUAUUGGCGAGAGACCGAUAGCGAACAAGUACCGUGAGGGAAAGAUGAAAAGAACUUUGAAAGAGAGUUAAACAGUACGUGAAAUUGUCAAAAGGGAAGCGUUUGACACCAGUGUUGUUUUUCCGAAAAUCAAUUACGAAUGGCUUGAUUCUGUGUUGUAUUGACCUUAUCAGCUUUCUUCACUUUUUUCGAGUCUUUCUUAAUGCACUUUUCGGUUAACAAGUCAACAUCAAUUUCUUUUGUUGUAAAAGAGUAUUCGGAAGGUGGCUUUCUUUUCGGAGAAAGUGUUUAUAGCCCUAUACUUCUACAAUCGGAGAGAUUGAGGUCUGCAGCGUAGAUCCUUCGGGGUUAGAUACACUUGUGCUAAGUUGUAGCUUUUCAUAGACAACUUGUUGACUAUGAUCAGUCAUGUAGCUUACUCGCUUAGUGCUAUUUUACCUACGCUUAGGAUGUUGACGAGACUGUCGAUCUC
rnacentral:rRNA from 1 species